GGAGGGCGGUGCAGGCAGGGAGGGCAGUACAGGCAGGGCAAUGCAGGGAGGGCAAGCAGUGCAGGUUGAAGAGCAGGGCAGAGAGGGCAGCGCAGAAAGGACCCGCUGCCCGUACGGGAGCAUCGCCCGCCGACAGACGCCCCGAGCUGGGUGAAGAAGUAGGGGAGGAACCCGGGAGAAAGAAAGAGGAGCGGUCGGGUCGGACUCUCUGCCGGCCGACCAUCGCCCACCCACCCCCGCCCCGUGCUCGCGGUCGGGCCAGGGAGCCCCCGCGAAGACCCCGCGAAGCCCCCCGCAGCCUCCCGCGCCGCGCGGGGCCGGCCCCGCAGCCGGACAAACAAUGUGAGACUUGGCGGAACAAAAGCGGCGGGGCUUGGGUUGCUGAACACGUCUGAGGCCAGACGAGCCGCGCGAUUUAUUGGACUCGGAGAGCCUCGGCCCCGGCUCCGAGUCCAGUCGCUGCCUCCCCCCCGGUCGGCCCCCAGCCCCGCUCUGCCCACGGGGGAGAAGCCGCUCGCGUGGGGAGCGCGGCCCAGCCACGUGCCCCCGAAACCCCUGGAGAAGAGGAGGUUGGCUUUUUCCUGCUGAUGCUGUAGACUCCAGGGGUU